UUUAUAGGGUGGUUGAUAAAUAAAACUGUCCUUGUUUAGCAUUUUAUUUAUAUUCUGUUUGGAAAGAGAUAGCUAAAAAAAUUUCAGUCGAGUGAAAGUAGUUUAAACUGGAAAAAGUGAAGUGGCAUGUCUGUAGUAAAAGAAGAGAAAAUAAAAACAGUCUCUGAAGAAUGUGACAUGAUCUCGUAUUUAUUGAUAGUGAAAUGAAAUAAAAGAGAAAAAAAAACCGGAUAAAACAGAAAAAGCAUCACCCCCGGAGAAUGGCAAGGGAGGUACAUUGAAACAACAACUCUGAUGGGCUCGCGCUUACGGGUAGCCAUCUCCGCCCUGAUUGCGGUGAGCAGGGAUGUGGUCCGGGGACGAAAUACGCCGGAGGUCUACACUACCAUAGAAUCGACCGCGGCAAAAGACGAGAAAUCUGGGAAGGUGAUCCGACAAUUGGCACUUAUUUUAUCGACCCUGAAAGGAUGAUAGACAAAGUAGAUCCUGUUGGGAUUUGAACUCAGAACAUAAAGAGCCGUUUAGAAUAAUAAUAUUUCAUUCUGCUAUAAGUGCCCAAACCAGUGAACCAAUAUUCACGAAACUUUGCAUUCAUGUUACUUAUAUCAAAGAAGGUGAGAGCAGUGAUGGAAAUGGGGUGUGACGUUUUUACAGCUGUCAUAUACAUGCGACGCUGCAUACAUACUUUUGCAAAUACAUAAAUACAAUACAUACACACAGAAAUGGUGGUGUGAGGAAUACGAAGCGUUAAGGAGAAAAGGGAAAAGUUCCAGAAAAUGUUACAGAGGUUUAAAGUCUAAUCAAUUUUACCUAAUCAGAAAGCAGGAUUUGGAAGCAGGUAUUUUCUGCCUGAUUGCUGUCUAUCACAGAAUGAAAGCAAAAUCAUUAGGAGAAGGUAUUUUUUAUUAAACAAACGAAUGCAAAACAUUAUGACGACCAAAGUUGUAAGAACUGAUGAAGUUUUAAUGAAUAAAGUCAUGUGAAAUGGUCGAACAGACAUGUAAAUAAUUUAAAAAGUAAAAAAAAAUCCUCAACGAAAUUUUUGGCAAAACUUUGCACAAAUCUGUCCUAUCUGUCGAGAAAGGCAUGCUUUGAUAUGGAAUAAAUGAAAAUUUAUAUAAGACAAUUAAUUGUAAAAAUUGCCUGGCAACGACGGGCUAUUCAGCUAGUUUUAAAUAAAACUGCGAAUCGAACUCGCGAGUCCGUUUGA